AUUGAACGCUGGCGGCAUGCUUUACACAUGCAAGUCGAACGGUAACAGGGAGCUUGCUCCGCUGACGAGUGGCGAACGGGUGAGUAAUGCAUCGGAACGUGCCGUGUAGUGGGGGAUAACGUAGCGAAAGUUACGCUAAUACCGCAUACGCCCUGAGGGGGAAAGUGGGGGACCGCAAGGCCUCACGCUAUACGAGCGGCCGAUGUCGGAUUAGCUAGUUGGUAGGGUAAAGGCCUACCAAGGCGACGAUCCGUAGCGGGUCUGAGAGGAUGAUCCGCCACACUGGGACUGAGACACGGCCCAGACUCCUACGGGAGGCAGCAGUGGGGAAUUUUGGACAAUGGGCGCAAGCCUGAUCCAGCCAUGCCGCGUGAGUGAAGAAGGCCUUCGGGUUGUAAAGCUCUUUCAGACGGAAAGAAAUCGGUAGUGUCUAAUACACGCACUGGAUGACGGUACCGUAAGAAGAAGCACCGGCUAACUACGUGCCGAGCCAGCCGAAC
rnacentral:rRNA from 1 species